UACGAAGGGGGCUAGCGUUGCUCGGAAUUACUGGGCGUAAAGGGAGCGUAGGCGGAUAGUUUAGUGAGAGGUGAAAGCCCAGGGCUCAACCUUGGAACUGCCUUUCAUACUGGCUAUCUUGAGUACGGGAGAGGUGAGUGGAACUCCGAGUGUAGAGGUGAAAUUCGUAGAUAUUCGGAAGAACACCAGUGGCGAAGGCGAGUCUCUGGGAUGAGUGCUGACGCUGAGGCGACGAAAGCCAGGGGAGCAAACGGG
rnacentral:rRNA from 1 species